GCCUGAAGUCCAAAGUGGGUCCUCCAGGGCUGACAUCAAGGCACUGACACAGCCAAGUUUUGGUGGAGGCUCUAAAGCAAAACCCAUUUCCUUGACGUGUUCACUGGCACGCACUGGCUCAUGGCUCCUUCCAUCUUCAAAUAUGGCAGCCCCUUCUAGUCUCUCUCUGACUCUGACAACUGCUCCUUUGUUCAGUCUCUUUCUCUGUCACCCUCUGUCUCCGUCUUAUCAGGACCCAUAUGAUUAUAUCACGCCUGCUCAGAAAAUCCAGGAUAAUCUCUUCAUCUCAAGAUCCUUAACCACACCAGAUAAAUCGACAAAGAAAAUGUUGUGUACACAUAUAAGUGAAUAUUACCCAGCCUUGAAAAAGAAGAAAAUCUUGCCCUGUGUGAUAACCAGGAUGAACCUUGUGGAUAUUAUGCUAAAUGAAAUAAGCCAGUCACAGAAGGACAAACAUUGUAUGACUGCACUUAUGUGAGAUCAACUCAUCUGCAAAGAUAAAGAACAUCUGCAAAGAUCAUUUCAGCCUUUCUUUAUGGCAAUGGGAAAACCCAGAAACUUGUGAUCCGGAUAUAAGAAUUGAGUUCAUAAAGCAACCUAAACUGAAUUCCAAGGAGAGACAGGAGACAACCUUUGGCACAGCAUGGGAGGAAGAAGUGGCCUCCAUACAAGUAGGUUCACUGCUGCUAAAUGAUGUUUAUUGGUUCUCCAAGUUUGAGUCAAAGUCAUUCAUGUUUUCAAUAAAUGGGCAAGUUUCUGUAAAUAAAUACCACACCGAGGAAAACUGAAAUCAGUUUGGUCAUGCAUCAGGAAAACUAAAGGUGACAUUUUGGAGAAACUGAAACUGCUUUACAUUUCAUCUUGCUCUUUUUAUUGGCCAAGAGCUUUCAUGGCAUAUCUUCUUUAAUUUUAACACUGUUCCUCAAGUACUUGAGUAGUUUUACAACACACUGUACCAGAUGGAUGAAAGGCAAAGUUACGUGGUAAAUUUUGAUAAGUUUUCCAUCCUGGAAUAUAAUUCCUAUCAGGGAAAUCAGGCCCGUAGGUCAGCUACAAGCCCUUUAACAACUGAGUCUGAAUAAAUGUUAUCAGCAAUUCCAGAUAA